rnacentral:misc_RNA from 1 species
GAUGAAGAACGUAGCGAAAUGCGAUAAGUAAUGCGAAUUGCAGAAUUCAGUGAGUCAUCGAAUCUUUGAACGCACAUUGCGCCCGCCAGCAUUCUGGCGGGCAUGCCUGUUCGAGCGUCAUUUCAACCCUCAAGCUCUGCUUGGUGUUGGGGCCCUACGGUUGACGUAGGCCCUUAAAGGUAGUGGCGGACCCUCUCGGAGCCUCCUUUGCGUAGUAACUAACGUCUCGCACUGGGAUUCGGAGGGACUCUUGCCGUAAAACCCCCAAAUUUUUAAAGGUUGACCUCGGAUCAGGUAGGAAUACCCGCUGAACUUAAGCAUAUCAAUAAGCGGAGGA